rfam:Ovis aries breed Texel chromosome 13, whole genome shotgun sequence.
UCCUGGGUGGCUCAGACAGUAAAGAACCUGCCUGCAAUGCAGGAGACCUAGGUUUGAUCCCUGGGUUGGGAA